GUAACUUUAACUACUUUUCAACCCUACGAUUUAUCAAAACAUUCAAGAUGUCUUCACGUGUUUUUUUCAUUAAAUAAAAUUGGAAUUGAGAGAGGAUGGAAAACAAAAAUCCUGAGAAUGAGAAAAACCUAAAAAAUUUCAACUCUCCUCCUUUUGUCUCUGACCCACCGAUACUGCCACUUUCCGCCACCGACUAUCCAUCUAUUUUUGACUCAGACCGAAAUUGCUUUGUUGUUGUCGCCUCUUUUUGUUGCUGUCACCUACUGUUACUCCCACCUGCCGCCUUUGAUGGAUGCUCUGGGAUGAAAGUGUGGUGUUUCAAUGAUGUAUUGUAUCAUAACAAGAAGAAUGGAGUGUAUGUUUGGCUUAUAUUAUGCAGACAUUGUAUUUAACAAGAAGAAUGGAGUGUAUGUUUGGCUUAUGUUAUGCAGACAUUGUAUCAGAACAAGAAGAAUGGACUGUGAUAUGUUUGGUUUGGGUUAUGCAGACAUUUGUGAAGUAUUACAUAUAAACUUAAUUUUUGACAACUUUUGAAGCAAAAAGAAGACAAAUGCACAAAUUUGAUUUAAGUGCUACACUUGUGAAGCAAAAAGAAUACAAAUGCACAAAUUUGAUUUAAGUGCUACACUUGUGAAGCAUAAAGAAGAUGAAGAACCAAAAUAGUUUUAGGACAUAUUCUACUUUUAGGAUAUAAUGUAUAAGUUGAUAGUGUUUUUUCAAGUUCAAGUAAAAGGAUCAAUUUAUGAUCUCUAUCAAUGUAAUGAAAUCUUAUGAGUAAACAAGUUCUCAUUUGGUUUU